AACCUCUACACUGCACGAAAGUGUGAUAGGGGAAUUCCAAGUGCUUACGCAUUGCGUAAGCUUUUGCCAAGAGUAAAGUUCUUGGCGAAUAAGUGGUGGGCAAGACUGGUGCCAGCCGCCGCGGUAACACCAGCGCCACGAGUGGGGAUCGCAGUUAUUGGGCCUAAAGCGUUCGUAGCCGGCCCGCUAAAUCUUUCGUGAAACUGUCAGGCUUAACCUGACAACGUGCGGAAGAAACUGGCGGGCUAGGGACCGGGAGGAGUCAGAGGUAUGCGUGGGGGAGCAGUAAAAUGCUAUAAUCCUACGUAGACCACCGGUGGCGAAGGCGUCUGACCAGCACGGUUCCGACGGUGAGGAACGAAAGCCAGGGGAGCGAUCCGG
rnacentral:rRNA from 1 species